AUCAUGGACCAUCGCCCUUUGUUCCGUGUGCAGCCUUCGUCCACUGAGCUCACUCUCAGGCCCUCACCAGAAGCACUGACGGUGGCCCAGGCCUAUCAUGGGUCUGAGGCAUGGAAGGUGAAGGUGCCUCAAAAGGUGAAGGAGGAGGCGCAAGCUCGCACUCUGCAAGGAGGAGGAGAUCCCCACUGCUCCCAGCUGCUUCUCAGCCAAUAUGAGAUCCAGUUUGGGCAGUACCGGGGACAGACCUUCAAGUGGCUCCUGAGUCACGACGUGGGCUACGCUGUGUCCCUGCUGGCCUCACACCAGAAGGAGCGGGAGAGUGGUGACACAUCCAGCUCACCACUUAUGGCCAACAAGGUGCUGUGGAGUACAACACAGAAAUAUCUCACUCAUCCUAGUACAGUAAAAGUAGAGCCAUCAUUAGAACUAUUAUACGGAUCCCAACUCACACAGCUCAAUCAGAGCAAUCAUCAAGAAAUUCCUAUUUCUGUCAUAAUACACAUAUUCUGUUCUCCCGCUACACAGGAUGCCCUCACCUCCUACAGCAAGCUGUUCCCAGAGGUGAUGUCAGCCGUGGAGGGACGCCGUGCCACGGAGGGUUCCAAGUCUGUCCGGAGCCAAGACAAGAAGUUGGUGGAGUUCGGCCCCCACGGAGCCAUGACCUACGCCUCCAUGUACGAGGCCACGGGGAAAGAGGUUGAGACCUACGUGCAGUGGCUGAGGAAGAAGAAGUGCAUCCCAGGCAGCAACCUGCAUGCUUUAAAGACCUACAUACUGGGCCGGGACCAGGAGAAGAACCAGCAUCCCUCCCAGCAGCCCCAGUGCCCACCAUCUGACAGUAGGUGUUUCUUUGUCUUUUCUGUGUGAAACAGCUGCUAACGAGCCCUCAGACGAGAUGCUCCUGGCUGCUGCCUUGGAGGUGGAGAGUCAGCGUGAGUUCACUCACACGCACAAGCACACAUGCAAUGGUUAUAACCCUUUAUCAAAUGUAAAUGAUUCUGUGGUGAACGUGUUUGGACCUGAUAAUAGCUGUUCUUCUGUUAUUCAGAAGCCUUCUAUGGAUUAAUGGUGUAAAACUGUAUGUAAGUUAUAAGGUGACUACGAGGUACGGUUGAUGUUUACUGGACCCUGUAGAGAUCAGCUGUAGGCCUAACAACCUAACCUUGGUAGAUACUCACGCUUCGCUGUCCGUCUGUAUGUCAUCACAUUAUGGUAUGGUGAUUGUUGUUGUCCGUCAGUAGUUUAACUGGGAUAGUAAAGUUUGUUCUGUGCACAGAACACAGACAUCAGACAGAUUCAACGACACGUGUUGUGGAAUCUCUCUCAUGUCUGAGUAUUUGCAUGACUUUGAUUACUUUUAGUUAUUUUUGCAGAGGUCCCAUCUUCAGCCUCCACUCCUGUGCCAGUCGAUGACCUGGACCUGUCUUCCAGUGGUGACAGCGGCGUCGCCGUGCGGCCCAGGACCAGAGCUGCAGCCGCAGCUGAGGGCUGUCCUAAACCCUCGCGACCAAUUAGUGGCUCAGAGGUGAGACCCCCCCCCUCCCUCUGCAGGGCAGCUCCCCCACUGUGCUUCAAAUUGUUUGGCUUGUGCUCACCUUUUGUCUGUUUCUGUGGUGAAGUUGCUGCCUCACAGCUGGAGGCAGACUCUGCCGGAGGAGCAGCAGGACUGGGUGGGCCGGGCUCUGUUCACCAGGAACGCCAGGGGCCAGCGUGUCCUCACCACCGACCUUCGCCUCUGGUGGUACCCUCCCGGAGCCCGGCCCCUCUACACCCAGACCCCUGCAUCGUCCCACGCCUUCUUCCAGAGGCCGUUCUUCCUGUGGAUGCCCUACAGGAUGUGGGCGUGCAGGCUUGUGUGCCCCAGCUG
rnacentral:lncRNA from 1 species